rnacentral:lncRNA from 10 species
CUGGGGGCAGCAAUUCUCCUCCCUCAGCCUCCUGAGUAGCUGGGACUACGGGUGCGGGACACCAUGCAAGGCUAAUUUUUAAUUUUUUUUUUUUUUUUUUUUAGUAGAGACGGGGUUUCACCAUGUUGGCCAGACUGGUCUCAAACUUCGGACCUCAAGUGAUCCGCCUGCCUAGGCUUCCCAAAGUGCUGGGAUUAUAGGCGUCAGCCACUGGGCCCAGCUUCCCUUCCUCACGUUCUCUGGGAAUAAUGAUAAGGGAAAAGGAUCUUUAGCUCCAACUACAAAAAGGGCAGCAGAAAUAAUCUUGUCUCAUUCCAAAUAGAUUUUCUCCCCUGCUCAUGUUGCCUACUUCUCUUCUCACUGCUCUCUAAACAGGAUGGCUGGGUCUGAUUGGCAAUCGCAGCAGAGCCCAGCAUCUUUCACAUAUAGAAGUACUCAAUGAAUAAUACUUGUGAAAAUUGAAUUUCUGCCUUUUUACGAAAUAUGUAUUUCAUAAAGAAGCUUCUUUGUACUUGCUAAAUGAGAAUCUACUAAGAGGGAAGGAUCCCUCCCACAUGCAGGGGUUCCUCUGGACUGUCUUUUUUUUUUUUUUUUU